UUUCCGUAGGUGAAACCUGCGGAAGGAUCAUUAAAAAAUUGGACUCCAUUGGUGAGUUCAUUAAUAAUCCCUACCCUUUGUGAAUUUGUUUGUUUGAAUAAUUUUUUUUUCCAAAAAAAAUUAUUGAAUGUCUUUCCUUGUUUUGGUGGAGCUUGUAAAAGUGAAACCAGGCAGGGGAAUGGCAAACAAUAAUUAUUUUUGAAAAAGACCUUUUUUUAAAAUUAAACUUUUUGUAUUCAUUUGUCUAAAAUUAAUUUUUAUAAUAUAAAAACGACUUUUGACAAUGGAUCUCUUGGUUCUCGCAACGAUGAAGAACGCAGCAAAAUGCGAUAAGUCGUGUGAAUUGCAGAAUACGUGAAUCAUUCGAAUCUUUCGAACGCAUAUUGCACUUUUUUAGUUUACUAAAAAAGUAUGUCUGUUUGAGUAUCAGUAAAAUAUUCUCAUAAAAAACAUUGUUUUUUUUAUGGUUAUGAGUGUUUUACAACGAUAACAAGUUGUUUCACUUUAAAUUCUUUGUUAUUCAAAAAAAAUCAUUAAAAGCUAAUUUUAAAGAUUUUUUAAAAUUGGAUAAAAUUUUCCCGUAAAAAGGAAUAACCUAAACAAUUUUAAAAAAUUAAAAUUGGUUUGAUUUUUUUUGAAACCCAAAGGAAAAAAAAACGAAAUUAACUUGAUCUCAAAUCAGAUAAGAGUACCCGCUGAACUUAAGCAUAUCAAUAAGCGGAGGAAAAGAAACUAACUAGGAUUCCCUCAGUAACGGCGAGUGAAGCGGGAAGAGCUCAAAUUUGAAAUCUUCAAGGUUUUACCUUGACGAAUUGUAGUUUAAAGAAGUGUUUUCUGUUGGAGUUUUGGUAAAAGUUCUUUGGAAAAGGACAUCAUAGAGGGUGAGAAUCCCGUAUUUGACCAUUAUCUCCAGCUUUGUGAUACACUUUCAAAGAGUCGGAUUGUUUGGGAAUGCAGUCCAAAAUGGGUGGUAAAUUUCAUCUAAAGCUAAAUACUGGCGAGAGACCGAUAGCGAACAAGUACCGUGAGGGAAAGAUGAAAAAGAACUUUGAAAAGAGUAGGUUAAACAGUACGUGAAAUUGUCAAAAGGGAAGCGUUUGACACCAGUGUUGUUUUCUCGAAAAUCAAUUAAAAAAGGCCGGAUUUUGUGUUGUAUUGACUUUAUCAGCUUUCUGCACUCUUUUCUUGUCUUUUUUUAAUGCACUUUUCGUUUAACAAGUCAACAUCAAUUUCUUUUGUUGUAAAAGGGUCAUUGGAAGGUGGCUUUCUUUUCGGAGAAAGUGUUUAUAGCCUUUGGGCCUCUGCAAUCGGAGAGAUUGAGGUCUGCAGCGUAGAUCCUUCGGGGUUAGAUACAUUUGUGGCUAAGUUAUAGCCGCUUCAUAGACAACUUGUUGACUAUGAUCAGUCAUGUAGCUUACUCGCUUAUGCUAUUUUACCUACGCUUAGGAUGUU
rnacentral:misc_RNA from 1 species